rnacentral:lncRNA from 1 species
CAAGGUAGGACCCUGGCCAAGACACCCCAGACCCUGGCCACAAUCACCCAAACCCAGACGGCAGCACGAGCCAUGUCUCACCUUGGGAUCUCUCCUGCCACCACCGCCAGAGGAGGGGUCUCGGCCCCACGCAGCCUGGCCCGGCCUUCGGCUUCCACCCUACAAGGGACCCAAGAGACAAGGUGACACCCACAGUGAGACGCCAUCGACUGGGCUCCUCGGGCGGUCGGCGCUGCCCCGUUGGGCUCGAGGAUGGAAAGGCAGGAAGAGAAAGGCCCCGUUUCCUUGCGAGUGGACCUCAGAGUUCCAGACACACAUUAUUCGUCAUCGAUGCCUCAUACGCUGGCAUUGAUCAUCAUCGAUCCAGAAAAGGGGGACCUUCUCUUCCUUCGCCAUGGCCCGUGGAGUCAGGCAUUCCUCCCCGCACGGCCACUGGGCAACCCAAGGGGCCCGCCCCACCCAACGAGGCCUCGCCAUCCCUCGGGGGGCCUCUAGGACCCGUCCCCUGGCUUUCGGUCUCUCUGGGCCGCGGAGGACCAGCUGGGCCCCUGUGCAGGACGUCCAAGAGACCUUCCUAGCCAGAGCUGUCCCAUCCCUGGGACGCCAGAGCCCUUCUGGACUGCUGGCCUCGCCCGCAUCUGCCGCCCACCCUCCACCAGCCCCUCGCACUGCCCUGCCCAGCCCAGCCCCGACAAGCCCUGGGAUGCUGCUCACACUGGUCCCCUGGCUCCAAAGACAACGCUGCCAUCCUCGCCUGCUCAUCCAGGAAGGAGCCGGCCUUCGGGCCUGGCGGCUGCCUGCUGAAGAGUACAAAGCCAAGAGCAGGAGACCCAAUGGCACAGCCAUUCUCCAGGCUCGCGGCUUCCACAUGCACGCCUCCAUCGGGGCAACCCUGCUGGCAGGGCACAGCCCUGUCUCGGGACACCCACCAACCACCAGCUGGCCGCCCAGCCCCGGGACAGAGGUGGGCCCUCCCUGACCCUGCCUACCUCACCCUUGCCCCACGGCCUCAGCCUCGGGGACAUCAGCCCAAGACCUCUGGCCAACCUGCAGCCCAUGGCAUGGCAAGAGGCAGACCAUGGGGGGUGGGGUCACCAGGGACCUGGCGCCUUGGGAAUGCCGGCCCUCCCUCGCUCUCCUCCUUCAGUUCUGGCAGGCUGGUCCACAGGGGCUCCCACUGGCCCACUGGGCGAACGCAAGCACCAGGAAGGCCCCCCAGAGGACACACGGACGGCCCCCCUGGAUGCCUGGCCUCGCCCGCGAGGGUCACGGCACGGAGGACAUUGGACCUCAGCGUUCCAGACACGUAUUCAUCGUACACGACUCAUACGCCACCAGCAGUCAUCAUCGAUCCAAUACUGCCCCCCUUUCGGUCUCUCUGGGCCGCGGAGGACCAGCUGGGCCCCUGUGCAGGACGUCCAAGAGACCUUCCUAGCCAGAGCUGUCCCAUCCCUGGGACGCCAGAGCCCUUCUGGACUGCUGGCCUCGCCCGCAUCUGCCGCCCACCCUCCACCAGCCCCUCGCACUGCCCUGCCCAGCCCAGCCCCGACAAGCCCUGGGAUGCUGCUCACACUGGCCUUCUGGAUCCAGAGACAACGCUGCCAUCCUCGCCUGCUCAUCCAGGAAGGAGCCUG